AUCUUUGCGCUUGGGGCAAUGACGCAGCUAAUGAGGUUCUAACCGAGACGCGUCUACUGCUGGUUGAAAACUAUUUCCAAACCCCCUCUUUGGCCUAGGUUUAUCCUUGGCCUUUGAGAAUUUCUGGAAGGGCUCCCCUAGGGGUAAAGUC
rnacentral:snRNA from 1 species